AUUGAACGCUGGCGGCGUGCCUAACACAUGCAAGUCGAGCGGUAACGCGGGGGCAACCCUGGCGACGAGCGGCGGACGGGUGAGUAAUGCUUGGGAAUCUACCCAGUAGUGGGGAAUAACCAGUCGAAAGAUUGGCUAAUUCCGCAUACGCCUCCUCUUCAUACCGAGGAGAAGGGAAAGUCGGGGGGACCGUAAGGCCUCGCGCUAUCGGAUGAGCCCAAGUCGGAUUAGCUAGUUGGUAGGGAACGGCCUACCAAGGCGACAAUCCGUAGCUGGUCUGAGAGGACGACCAGCCACACUGGGACUGAGACACGGGCCCAGACUCCUACGGGAGGCAGCAGUGGGGAAUAGUUGGACAAUGGGGGCAACCCUGAUCCAGCGACGCCGCGUGUGUGAAGAAGGCCUGCGGGGUU
rnacentral:rRNA from 1 species